CAGCAGUAGGGAAUAUUGCUCAAUGGGCGAAAGCCUGAAGCAGCAACGCCGCGUGGAGGAUGACACUUUUCGGAGCGUAAACUCCUUUUGUUGGGGAAGAAAUUUGACGGUACCCAACGAAUAAGCACCGGCUAACUCCGUGCCAGCAGCCGCGGUAAUACGGAGGGUGCAAGCGUUACUCGGAAUCACUGGGCGUAAAGGACGCGUAGGCGGAUUAUCAAGUCUUUUGUGAAAUCUAAUGGCUUAACCAUUAAACUGCUUGAGAAACUGAUAAUCUAGAGUGAGGGAGAGGCAGAUGGAAUUGGUGGUGUAGGGGUAAAAUCCGUAGAGAUCACCAAGAAUACCCAUUGCGAAGGCGAUCUGCUAGAACUCAACUGACGCUAAUGCGUGAAAGCGUGGGGAGCAAACAGGAUUAGA
rnacentral:rRNA from 1 species